AGGUGUGCCAGAGAGGUAAGAAGGGUUUGAGAUCUUGGCCAGAGUGAGACAGUGGGAGAAACUCCUGAGAUGACCCCACCCAGCUUCGAAACUACUCAGGGACUGCAGGGGAGUUUAGCCAACAGGGUGCUCACCAGACUCAGUCUGGGCUGCAACUCACACCUGCUGCGACCCAGGGAUCACCACGACCCAGGCCACCUCCACCCCUGGGUCAGUGCAUCUCUUCCCUCUCUGCUUCUGAUCUGUGAGUAACCAGGGCAUGGAGGCCCAGGAAAAGUCAGAUGGCAAGGUCUUAUGUAAAUGCUAUGACUCCACCCCCAUGAAGAUUUCGGGGCUAUAAAGAGACUUACGGGAACUAUCUCCAAAGCAGAGCUUCAGGAAGCACAGUGGGAAUCUGCACCAUGCCUUGGGCUCCACUCCUCCUGACCUUCCUCACUUACUCUGCAGUGUCAGUGGUCCAGGCAGGGCUGACCCAGCCAUCCUCAGUGUCCGAAGGCUUGAGACAGACAGCCACACUCACCUGCACUGGGAACAGUAACAAUGUUGGCAACCAGGGAGCAGCAUGGCUGCAGCAGCACCAGGGCCACGCUCCCAAACUCCUGUCCUACAGGAGUAACAACCGGCCCUCGGGGAUCUCAGAGAGAUUCUCUGCAUCCAGGUCAGGAAACACAGCUUCUCUGACCAUCACUGGGCUCCAGCCUGAGGACGAGGCUGACUAUUACUGCUCAGCAUGGGACAGCAGCCUCAGUGCUCACACAGUGCCUCAGAUCAGUGGGGAAAUGAGACAAAAACUCGAGAGCUCUCCAGGCCUCACUGAGCACACGGGGACCUCACAGUUUAACUGAACCCCCACUAAAGUCAAGGGAUGUAUUCACAACAGUGUACACUAUUUAGACUGUUAAAAAUAGAAACAUGAGGUCGGGUGC